rnacentral:rRNA from 1 species
CCUACGGGGUGCUGCAGUGGGGAAUAUUGGACAAUGGGCGAAAGCCUGAUCCAGCCAUGCCGCGUGUGUGAAGAAGGCCUUCGGGUUGUAAAGCACUUUCAGUGGGGAAGAAAGCCUUGGGGCUAAUACCCUCGAGGAAGGACAUCACCCACAGAAGAAGCACCGGCUAACUCCGUGCCAGCAGCCGCGGUAAUACGGAGGGUGCGAGCGUUAAUCGGAAUUACUGGGCUUAAAGCGCGCGUAGGCGGUCUGAUAAGCCGGUUGUUAAAGCCCCGGGCUCAACCUGGGAACGGCAUCCGGAACUGUCAGGCUAGAGUGCAGGAGAGGAAGGUAGAAUUCCCGGUGUAGCAGUGAAAUGCGUAGAGAUCGGGAGGAAUACCAGUGGCGAAGGCGGCCUUCUGGACUGACACUGACGCUGAGGUGCGAAAGCGUGGGUAGCAAACAGGAUUAGAUACCCGUGUAGUC